CUCACUCCUCUAUUCCACAACUCUAUAACUAAUCACUUCUUCCAUGCCUCACUAAGCUCUUCUUCACUCCUCUAUUCCACAACUCUAUAACUAAUCACUUCUUUUUCUCUCCCUUCUUCCAUGUCUCACUAAGCUCUUCUUCACUCCUCUAAUCCACAACUCUAUAACUAAUCGCUUUAUUUCUCUCCCUUCUUCCAUGUCUCACUAAGCUCUUCUUCCUUUUAAUCCACAACUAACCACCUUUCCUCUUUUCACGACUCACCAAGCUCCUCUCCUCUCUUCUCUCCACUGAUCUACCACAACUAACCACUUCUCUUUGGUCUAGGUUAAUCUCAACUGAAGUAUCGACACGGUUGCUAAUUUAUCAGGACCUUUUUUGGAUAUAUUGUAUGUGAAAAUUGUGGGUCCUCUUCCUGUUUCUGCUCCUCCUCCUCCUCCUUCUUCCAUUUCAUCUUUCUUCUUCUUCUUCUCUUUUCCUCCUUCUCAAACUCCUUCAUCUCCUUCUUCAUUCUCUUCCUUUCCUCCUCCUCCUCCUUCUCCACCUCCAUUUUCUGUUCCCUCUUUCUUCUCCUUCUCCUUUUUAUUUUCCUCUCCUCCUCCUCCUUCUCCUCCUACUCCUUCUUCUAUCUCUUCUUUUCCUCCUCCUCCUCGUUCUCCACCUCCUCAAAAUCUCUACCCGUCAAUCACUAUAAAAAUAUCAACAGAAAUAUACAUACAUACGACAGCACUUUUUUUCCAUCGACAGGUCAAGUAACAUUACAGGCUUGAAAAUAUAUACAGUGCAUUCUUAAAGGGUCUCUAUCGACCAGUCAUUAUAAAUAUAUCAACACCGAAAAAAAAAUAUAUAUACAACACAACCUCUAUUCACGACGGCAGUUAAACGUAGGUAGGUGUGAAAAUAUAGUGUGGUUUUUAUCAUGUUUUUGUCUACUACUAUAGGUCACUCACUAUUAAUAUCAACACAGGACUUCAACAGCCCCAGAAAUGAUUUAAUCUCACUUGUAUAGCACUGCCACAUAGCACAACUCUCUCUGGUACUUGUCUUGUGUUAAACCGAGUCUGGUGCAGUCCAAAGAUUCUGUGCUAAAUCGCUUAAUCUCACUCAUAUAAUACUUCCAAUAAGCAUGACUCUCUGGUACCUGUCUUGUGUUAAACCGAGUCUGGUGCAGUCCAAAGAAUCUGUCCUAAAUCGCUUAAUCUCACUCAUAUGAUACUUCCAGUUAGCAUGACUCUCCCUGGUACUUGUCUUGUGUUAAACCGAGUCUGCUGUGGUCCAAAGAUUCUGUGCUAAAUCGCUUAAUCUCACUCAUAUAAUACUUCCAAAUUAGCAUGCCUCUCCCUGGUACUUGUCUUGUGUUAAACCGAGUCUGCUGUGGUCCAGAGAUUCUGUGCUAAAUCGCUUAAUCUCACGCAAAUAACACUUCCAUUUAAAUAGCACUGGACACUACCAUUUAAAUAACGAUGGACACUUGAUAACAUCUAUUUAUUUCUUUAGUAUCAACAGAGGCCCCAACAAGUCACAACCUUAUUUUCUUUUCCACAGUUUAACAUAGCUAUGAAAAUUAGUGCGUUCGUAAAGGUUUCCCAAUACAUCAGUCACAAUAAAGAUAUCAAUGCAGGUCUUAACAUAUCACAAACUUAUUUUUUUCCUUUCGACAGUUCAGUGACAGUUCAACGUAGGUGUGAAAAAUUGUGCAUUAGUAAAGGUCUUUCAACAGGUCAGUCCUUAUAAAGAUAUCAACACAGGUCUUAACAUAUCACAACCUUAUUUUCUCUUCCGACAUUUCAACCUUGG